UACGAAGGGGGCUAGCGUUGUUCGGAAUUACUGGGCGUAAAGCGCACGUAGGCGGGUCUGUAAGUAGAGGGUGAAAUCCCGGGGCUCAACCUCGGAACUGCCUUUGAUACUGCAAGUCUCGAGUCCGAUAGAGGUGAGUGGAAUUCCUAGUGUAGAGGUGAAAUUCGUAGAUAUUAGAGAACACCAGUGGCGAAGGCGGCUCACUGGAUCGGUACUGACGCUGAGGUGCGAAAAGGCGUGGGGAGCAAAC
rnacentral:rRNA from 1 species